rnacentral:rRNA from 1 species
AGCGAACGCUGGCGGCAGGCCUAACACAUGCAAGUCGAACGAACCUUUCGGGGUUAGUGGCGGACGGGUGAGUAACACGUGGGAACGUGCCUUUAGGUUCGGAAUAACUCAUUGAAACUUGUGCUAAUACCAAAUGUGCCCUUCGGGGGAAAGAUUUAUCGCCUUUAGAGCGGCCCGCGUCUGAUUAGCUAGUUGGUUGAGGUAAUGGCUCACCAAGGCGACGAUCAGUAGCUGGUCUGAGAGGAUGAUCAGCCACAUUGGGACUGAGACACGGCCCAAACUCCUACGGGAGGCAGCAGUGGGGAAUCUUGCGCAAUGGGCGAAAGCCUGAAGCAGCCAUGCCGCGUGAAUGAUGAAGGUCUUAGGAUUGUAAAAUUCUUUCACCGGGGACGAUAAUGACGGUACCCGGAGAAGAAGCCCCGGCUAACUUCGUG